AUAUCCAUCAUGUUGAUGUGUGUUAAUGCAUCCUUGUGUGUGUAUGUGUUGGUGUUAGGACUGUGCUGAGGCGUUCCGCCCCCCUCCCCCUCCACACCACUCAAGGCACGGCGGCGGCCCAACCGCAAACUAACGGAGAUUAACAUGAGGCUGGAUGCGCUUGGCUCCCUGCUGCGUCCAUCACCAGAGGGGCCGGGAUUGCUGCGGCAGCUAGCCAAUUAAAGGAGGAGGAUGAAGGAGAGGAGGAUGAAGGAGAGGAGUCUGACGAUGCAGACAUCGCCAUCGUAUGCAGUCCACGCCCUCGCAGGAAAACCAGCCAAUGAAAACGCUUGCAGCAGCAUCAGCAGAACACACGGGCACGACUGGUAAACUUAAAGAUACGCCACAGACCAGACAUACACCAAAUACAACUAGCACAGACAGAGCUUCUGAAGCAUGCAGUGGAAGACCUGUCAGUCAAGCUAAAGGUCCCGCCCUCCAACCUGCUGCUGCUGCACGGAGAGGCGGAACUUAACACCUCACACACUAUUGGCCAGCUAGGACUCUGCAUCGCUGACAUCUUUGUCUGGAACCAACUUCACAUCCCUCUUCACUGCACUACUGACACUGAGAUGGAAUCCACAACCCAACCACUAGUGGUCUGCAUUGGGAACCUGAAGAGUCUGUCAUAACCGCCAGGAAUGACCGUGUGACCAUUCCCGUUGCAGACGGCCUGACUUGCACAAUUGACAAGCUGUUCAAGCUUUACUGGGUCUGCAACUUGUUAUAUCCAGCACAGCUCAGCUCUGUUUUCACCUUCUUUGAAUAUGUUUAUGACGUUCCCAUCUCAACCAACAAACGAACAAAGGCACUACAACUUCUCUCAAAGCUUCCCAGCAGCCCAGUGAUCACUCAACAUGUGUUUAUGCCCAAAAUGUAAAUAGCUACUACAGACAUCAAGAAAGUAGUUUGGCAUCUUUGUCAUGUACACGCUUUGUCAGAUGCACAGGAUAUGAUGAUAAUUUGCAGCCAAGAUGGCUGUUCAAGUGUACAAGGACUUACUAUGUAGACACCACCUACGUAGACACCACCAGUCCACAACAACAGAAAUGGGAGUAUCUUUCAAUGACUCUUUUGAAUCCACUGACAUUCAGACAGCCUAUGCAGCUUCAAGUAACACCUGAAGAAAGAGCAUUUUGUGUCCCUUCUCAAGGACCGAUUCUCCAUAAUUUACCACUUAAUGACAAUUUAUCUGUGUUCAUGCUUGUUAGGAUUAUUACAGGGAAUUAUUUUGAUUAUCAUUUUGGCAACACUUUAUUUUAUCAUUACAUCUAUUAGCUCUAAUACAUAGUGUUAAUGCCUGUAU